rnacentral:lncRNA from 1 species
UAAUAUAACACAUGUUAUACUUUUUCACUUCAAUAAUCAGACAACAAAUUUUCUCUUUUACCAGCCUACUAGUAUCCUUGGGGAUCCAUAAGGGGUCUCUGCUACUCGUGAACUAUUAACAUUAAUAACUUGAUUCCAGGGCCGUCCCCAUACCCAGUCCGGUAUGAGGGUGAAAUGGGCCGUCCCCAUACCCUGUCCGAUAUCGGCGCCAAAACCAU